rnacentral:rRNA from 1 species
GAUCCUGCUCAGGAUGAACGCUGGCGGCGUGCUUAACACAUGCAAGUCGAACGGGAAUUACUUUAUUGAAACUUCGGUCGAUUUAAUUUAAUUCUAGUGGCGGACGGGUGAGUAACGCGUGGGUAACCUGCCUUAUACGGGGGGAUAACAGUCAGAAAUGACUGCUAAUACCGCAUAAGCGCACAGAGCUGCAUGGCUCGGUGUGAAAAACUCCGGUGGUAUAAGAUGGACCCGCGUUGGAUUAGCUAGUUGG